GGGGGAAUCUUGCACAAUGGGCGAAAGCCGGAUGCAGCGACGCCGCGUGGGGGACGAAGGCCCUCGGGUUGUAAACCCCUUUCGGCAGGGAAGAAGCGCAAGUGACGGUACCUGCAGAAGAAGCUCCGGCUAACUACGUGCCAGCAGCCGCGGUAAGACGUAGGGAGCGAGCGUUGUCCGGAUUCAUUGGGCGUAAAGCGCGCGUAGGCGGUUUGGUAAGUCGGAUGUGAAAUCCCGAGGCUCAACCUCGGGACUGCAUCCGAUACUGCCCGACUAGAGGUAGGUAGGGGAGAUCGGAAUUCCUGGUGUAGCGGUGAAAUGCGCAGAUAUCAGGAGGAACACCGGUGGCGAAGGCGGAUCUCUGGGCCUUACCUGACGCUGAGGCGCGAAAGCUAGGGGAGCGAACAGG
rnacentral:rRNA from 1 species